GACGAACGCUGGCGGCGUGCUUAACACAUGCAAGUCGAACGGUGAAGCGCCUUCCUUUUUGGUGGGUGUGGAUGAGUGGCGAACGGGUGAGUAACACGUGAGUAACCUGCCCCCUUCUUCUGGAUAACCGCAUGAAAGUGUGGCUAAUACGGGAUAUUCUGGGUCUGUCGCAUGAUGGGUCUGGGAAAGAUAUUGUUUCGGUGGGGGAUGGGCUCGCGGCCUAUCAGCUUGUUGGUGGGGUGAGGGCCUACCAAGGCGGUGACGGGUAGCCGGCCUGGGAGGGUGGACGGUCACACUGGGACUGAGACACGGCCCAGACUCCUACGGGAGGCAGCAGUGGGGAAUAUUGAACAAUGGGCGCAAGCCUGAUGCAGCGACGCCGCGUGAGGGAUGGAGGCCUUCGGGUUGUGAACAUCUUUCGCCAGUGAAGCAGGCCUGCCUCGUUUGUGGGUGGGUUGACGGUAGCUGGAUAAGAAGCGCCGGCUAACUACGUG
rnacentral:rRNA from 1 species